rnacentral:rRNA from 1 species
UGGGGGAUAUUGCACAAUGGGGGAAACCCUGAUGCAGCGACGCCGCGUGAGUGAAGAAGUAUUUCGGUAUGUAAAGCUCUAUCAGCAGGAAAGAUAAUGACGGUACCUGACUAAGAAGCACCGGCUAAAUACGUGCCAGCAGCCGCGGUAAUACGUAUGGUGCAAGCGUUAUCCGGAUUUACUGGGUGUAAAGGGAGCGCAGACGGCAUGGCAAGCCAGAUGUGAAAGGUGGGGGCUCAACCCCCGGACUGCUUUGGAAACUGUCCGGCUGGAGUGCAGGAGAGGUAAGUGGAAUUCCUAGUGUAGCGGUGAAAUGCGUAGAUAUUAGGAGGAACACCAGUGGCGAAGGCGGCUUACUGGACUGUAACUGACGUUGAGGCUCGAAAGCGUGGGGAGCAAACAGGAUUAGAUACCCUGGUAGU